AAAGCAGAUCGCCUUAUCGCUAUUCAUUUUUAUGAAUAGAGGAAAGUCCGAACACCAAAGUGCAGCGUAGUGGCUAACAGCCAUCGGCCGUGAGGUUAGGAAUAGUGCAACAGAAAGAAUGUACAGGUUAAGCUGUAGUGAAAUCAUGUAAACUCUAUGCGGUGCAAUGCCAUGUAAAUCAGUGUUUGAGUGCGGCACGUGCAAUACUGAAGGGUAGGCAGCUAAAGUUUUCUGGUAACAGUAAACGUAGAUAAAUGAUAGGGGCUCUUUUUUGAGUACAGAAUUCGGCUUAUAGAUCUGCUUUUUUU
rnacentral:RNase_P_RNA from 1 species